GACGAACGCUGGCGGCGUGCUUAACACAUGCAAGUCGAACGAAGUGUCGAACGGGUGAGUAACGCGUAAUCAACCUUCCCUUCAGAGGGGGACAACAGUUGGAAACGACUGCUAAUACCGCAUACUGACGGCGGUGAUUGCGUCUGAGUAGCUAGUUGAAGGGGUAACGGACCACAAAGGCGAUUAUCAGUAGCCAGUGUGGGGGAAUGAACGGCCAGAUGGGAACUGAGACAAGGCCCAGACUCCUACGGGAGGAAGCAGUGGGGAAUCUUCCGGAAUAGACGAAAGUCGGAAGGAGCAACGCAGCGUGAGUGAGGACGGCCUUCGGGUUGUAAAGCUGUGUUAAUCGGGAAGCGGGAACGGAAGAGAAAGCCACGGCUAACUACGUGCCAGCAGCCGAGGUAAUAC
rnacentral:rRNA from 1 species